rnacentral:rRNA from 1 species
AUUGAACGCUGGCGGAAUGCUUUACACGUGCAAGUCGAACGAUGAACCUUAGCUUGCUAAGGGGAUUAGUGGCGAACGGGUGAGUAAUAUAUCGGAACGUGCCUUGUAAUGGGGGAUAACUAGUCGAAAGAUUAGCUAAUACCGCAUACGCCCUGAGGGGGAAAGUAGGGGAUCUUCGGACCUUACGUUAUAAGAGCGGCCGAUAUCUGAUUAGCUAGUUGGUGGGGUAAUGGCCUACCAAGGCGACGAUCAGUAGCUGGUCUGAGAGGACGACCAGCCACACUGGAACUGAGACACGGUCCAGACUCCUACGGGAGGCAGCAGUGGGGAAUUUUGGACAAUGGGCGCAAGCCUGAUCCAGCCAUUCCGCGUGAGUGAAGAAGGCCUUCGGGUUGUAAAGCUCUUUCGCAAGGGAAGAAAACUUACCAUCGAAUAAAUGGUGAGGCUGACGGUACCUUGAUAAGAAGCACCGGCUAACUACGUG